rnacentral:rRNA from 1 species
AGCGAACGCUGGCGGCAGGCCAAACACAUGCAAGUCGAACGGACCCUUCGGGGUUAGUGGCGGACGGGUGAGUAACACGUGGGAACGUGCCUUUUGGUUCGGAACAACUCAGGGAAACUUGAGCUAAUACCGAAUGUGCCCUUCGGGGGAAAGAUUUAUCGCCAUUAGAGCGGCCCGCGUCUGAUUAGCUUGUUGGUGAGGUAAUGGCUCACCAAGGCGACGAUCAGUAGCUGGUCUGAGAGGAUGAUCAGCCACAUUGGGACUGAGACACGGCCCAAACUCCUACGGGAGGCAGCAGUGGGGAAUCUUGCGCAAUGGGCGAAAGCCUGACGCAGCCAUGCCGCGCGAAUGAUGAAGGUCUUAGGAUUGUAAAAUUCUUUCACCGGGGACGAUAAUGACGGUACCCGGAGAAGAAGCCCCGGCUAACUUCGUGCCAGCCGCCGCCGUAAUAC